rnacentral:lncRNA from 1 species
GCUGCUCAGAGGGAUCUCGACUGGAUGGCAUCGGAAGGCUGCUCGCAGGGGUCUCGAAAUAGUUGGAGUUCUCCGUCGAGUGAUGAAGUAUGAUAAUUUCAGCAGUAGGAGAGGAAGGUAGUCUUCGAUCUCUGCAGUGACACUUCUUCCUCCCUUCAAAAACUCUUCAAAUCCCGCAUCAUUCAACCAUGAAAUGGUGGUCAGGGUUUUAUGAUUUUUUUUUUUAUCCGUGUGGCUUCUUCUCCCUUCUUCUACGUGUCAAAUAAAAACUUCUUUAUUGAGAAAUUUUUAUUUUAAUAUAUAUAUAUAUAUAUAUAUUAGAUUUCUGUAGGUCAUCGAAUGGAGGUGUGGAUCUUCAAUUUGGAACCGUGUGCAGCGUGCGAAAGGCCGAAUGGGCUUGGUACUGAGCCUGAACCAGGUGGGAACUGCAUGGUUCCCCCCGGUACGGCUUAGGUUCAGCCAUUUUCCAAUUUGAGGGUCCAAACUGUGCUGGUUUGGCUGUUCCCAUAUGGUACGCCCGGUACUGUCCUACAGCGUAUCUUGGCCGUAAGACUUUAUUAGAAGUUCCACAAAAUGUUGGGUUCAACAGUGUGGAUCAUCAUAUAAAUCUGAUUUUGUGAAUAAACUCAAACCAACUGGCGGUCCAUUGCUCCAUAAUCCCUGACAAUGGGAAAGGAGCAAGUUUGGCAGGCAUUGGGCUAAGAAUCUCGUAGGUGACUUUCAGGCGAACCUAGAGCGGUUGUUUGGCAAUUUGCAGGUCCUUGCAGCUCCUGAAGCAGUAAUUCUGAUUGCUUUCGGACGAUACGCUGUCAGAUUGGUCCUGACUCGAGUUGCUACCCGCAAGUCCCUUCAACCCUUCACUUUGCGAGAUGCUGCAUCACAGCCCAAUCGUAACUAUAGUUGCUGCAGCGACCCAAGC